GACGAACGCUGGCGGCGUGCUUAACACAUGCAAGUCGAACGAAGUGGCGGACGGGUGAGGAAUACGUGGGUAACCUGCACUCCGGGUUGGGGUCAGCCUUGGAAACGUGAUAUAAUACCGAAUAAAGGGGGGGGGGCUAGCGGCCUAUAGGGGUGUUGGUGGGGUGAUGGCCUACCAAGGCGGUGACGGGUAGCCGGCCUGAGAGGGUGAACUGCCACAUUGGGACGGAGAUACGGCCCAGAGGCGUACGGGAGGGGGCAGUGGGGGAUAUUGCACAAUGGGCGAAAGCGUGAUGCAGCGACUCCGCGUGGGGGAUGAAGGCUUUCGGGUUGUAAACCUCUGUCGCUAUCGAACGGGUAGGUGGAGAAGAAGCGCCGGCUAACUACGUGCCAGCAGCCGCGGUAAUUC
rnacentral:rRNA from 1 species